GCCGCGUUGGGUCCCGAGCGUGGGUGCUUCUCCGAGGAGGUGCAGCGGGCGAGCCGUGGAGCUCGGGGACGCCCCGAGGGCUCUCAAGAAGCUCAUUCUUGUCUCGCGUUUGCUAUGCCACCUGGGAAGAUGACCUUGAACUCCUGAUCCUUCUGCUCCACCUUCUGAGUGCUGGGUUUAUGAGGUGCUGAGACAGCAUGACCAGCUACCCCGGGUAUCCUGCUGCCGCCCCUUUCCUGCCACGGUGGACUGUGAGCUAAAGCAAACCCCUUCCAAGUUCUCCCAUCAGGUGUUUUGUCACAGCACGAGAAAAGUAAGUGAUAUAGUAGGGAUGAUAAAGAGGAAUUAAAUUUGGUCAGGCUGAAUAGUUUCUUAACAAUCACAAGAGGCCAUUGUCUUAGACUGGGCUCCUGCUCUGGACCUCAGCAAAUUGGCUAAAAAAAAAAAAAAAUCCAAAUAGAGUCACUCAUGCUAUAAUUCCAGGUCACUAAGCUGAAACUGGCAGUUAGCAUUAGUUAGAGAGAUAACAUUCUUCCCCAAAGAGGCCUCUUCAGGGGUAUGAUAAUAAAGUUCCCCUCUUCCUUAGCCCUUACACCCAAAGUAACCCAGUGUCAAUUGGUUCUCCUUCUACUGCUAUUUUCCCUGUUGCUGCCAGACAUGGAAAUGAAUUUGAAAUGAGACACGCACCUUUUGUUUUAUGUUUUUGCUAUUUUCUACGCUUCUCUGUUGGCUCAGUGGGAUGCUCCAUGUCUCCUAUGGGAUGAGGAGCAGCCUCAUUGUAGAAUAGGAGCCAGUUAAGAUCUGUAAGACAAAUUGCUGUGGUUUUCACUUUUGACAGAAUUCCCAAAUUGACUAGAUGUUUGUGAUAAAGGGAAUAACAGAGAGAUUAUCAGAGAUGCUCAGUUUCCUCUCCCAGGGCUAUCCAAGAGCUGCCCUUCUGUAGUUUACAUUAAUUAGAACUGGCUUUUCCUUUCUCCUUUGGGGCACAUGAUCUGUAUGUGGAAUGUUGUCCUGUUCAGGACAGGAGAGCUGGAAACCUUUGUUCUCCUCCAGAGUGUUGAAGAGGCAGAUGUGGUGUGUGACAGGCUUCACUGGCCUCCCAGCCAAAGCCACAUCUCCAGGACUUCCAACAAGCAGCUCAGAUACAAAGAGGUCCGAGAACAAGGCAGUGACACUUGUUUGUCUGCAGCUUUUCUUGAGUGAGUUGUGUUGCUGCUGCUGCUGCCGCCACGGCCACCAUCCUCCAUUAACAUCAGAUUCCAGCUUCUUCGGUCUUCCCACAUGGACUGAACACCAGGGACUCUCCAGAGAGUUUGCAGGUUUUCAGAAUGGACCAAGCCCUCAGUAGUGGAUGGAGACUGCUGAUGUAUUCAUCUUCAUGAACUGGGUUUCUCAGCCUCUCUGGCAUGUAUGGCUAUUGAUGGGCUAGCCAGUUUCUACAGCAUAUAUGUACUUAUUGAUUCUGUUUCUCUAAAGAACCUUGCCUAAAACAAUGUCCAAUGGAAGAGAACACCAAUACCAAAUGGAUGGCCCUGAAAACAUACAUACAAGUAAAAUUAUACAGCCUGAGCAGGUUGUAUUUAGAAAAGAAUAUAUAUACAUAUACAUCUACAUGGAGGGGUAUAUGAGACUAUUUGGAUGAAGGAAAGAAAGAGGAAAUGAUGUAAUUAUAAUAUAAAAUAAAUAAUAACAAAAAGGAAAAGAAUAGAGACGCAGAAAAGUAGGAAUGAGAUUUAUGAUAGGGUCUCAAUUUGUAGCCCAGGCUGCCCUCAAACUCACAUUAACACUACUGCCUCAGCCUAGUGACUACUGAGAUUACAGUCAUGAGCCACCACACCCAGCAAAAGAUUAUCUUUUUUAAAAAAUAUUUAUUAUUAUGUAUACAAUAUUCUGUCUGUGUAUAUGUCUGCAGGCCAGAAGAGGGCACCAGACCUCAUUACAGAUGGUUGUGAGCCACCAUGUGGUUGCUGGGAAUUGAACUCAGGACCUUUGGAAGAGCAGGCAAUGCUCUUAACCACUGAGCCAUCUCUCCAGCCCCCAAAAAUUUUCUUUUGAACAGAAUAAAAAGUACCUGUGGUAGAGAUCACCAGUGCCCACUUGGUUUUAUUUGGGAUGGCAAUGUGCUUCACUAAAUAACUGUUCUUUCUAACCUCUUGGCUUCUAUUUGAUGUUUUGUCUAAGAGAUGGCCACAGAAACAUGCUGCAGGAAACUGUGGGAUGCCUGCCCUAUUUAUCUUAGAUUGGUUUGGUGUAGGAGGUCCUUCUUUCUAUGUGUUGCUUGUAUUAGUUAAUGAAUAAAGAAACUGCCUUGGCUUGAUAGGGGCAGAACUUAGGUAGGCAGGGAAAACAGAAUUGAAUUCUGGGAGGAAGAAAGCAGAAUCAGAGGAACGCCAUGGAGCUGCCCUAGACCGACAUGCUGAAUCUUUCCCUAUAAGCCACUGCCAUGUGGCGAUAUACAAUAUAUAUAGAAAUGGGUUGAAUCAAGAUGUGAGAGUUAGCCAAUAAGAGGACAGAACUAAUGGGCCAAGCAGUGAUUUAAUUAAUACAAUUUCUGUGUGGUUAUUUCUGGGCUAAGCUAGCUGGGCAGCCGGGAUGAACAAGUGGGCCCUCCUCCAACACUGGUUGCCUUCAGAUAGUUUUCCUACAUUCAGUGAUAGUCCAAUCCCUGUAUUCAGCUGAACUGAUUCCUAACAUGUACCAUGAUUUAAAGUGGAAUGAAGACAUCUUAGUCCAUAGGAGUUAUUUUAAAAGUAUAUGAACACACCCAGUGCCCAGAAAUAUUUCUAUUCUCUAUGUGUGUUUCAUUCAUUAUAUUAAUCACAACAUUAAUCCCUAACAUUUGUUAGGGAGGAGUCUGGUUAGCUUUUUGUCAACUGAGGAGAUGCCUCCAUCAAAUUGGCCUGUGGUCAAGUCUGUCAGAUAAUUUUUUUAUUGAUGUGGGAGGUCCCAGGACACUAUGAGCAGUGCUACCUGUGGUCACAUGGUUCUGGAUUGUGUAGGAAUGCAAGCUGGGAAAGUCAGUAAACAGUAUUCCUUUAUGGCCUCAGCUUCAGUUCCUUCCUCUAGGUUCUUGUCUUUGCUUCCUGUUCUGACAGUCUUGAACAAUGGACUACAAGCAGUAAAUCAAGUAAAUCCUUUUCUUUCCAGGUUACUGUUAGGGUCUGAGAGAAGCCCCCAAAGAAGACCAACAGCCAUGCAAUAGCAAAAGCACUUUAUUAAUUCCAUCAUUGGAGUGGCACUUGGUGACCCCCAAAGAAGGUCACAAGCUCCUUCUAAGCGAAGUUAGGGGAAUUCCAGAGAGGAGGGAUUAAUCUGAGGCUGAUUGGUGGAGGGAAGAUUAGUAUGGGGACUGAUUGGUGGACGGUGCUCUGGUUAGUUAUUAGGAGACUGGGAGGUGCCUGCUGAGCCAGCAAAGAGGCUUUGGGGGUCUGAUGAGCCAGCAGAAGGGGCUCUGGGGUGCCUGCUGAGCUGGCAGAAGGCUGUGUUUUUUUCUGAGGAUUGUUUGUUUAACUCUGUCCCAUUUUAGUGAACCAAAACUAAGGCUUAGAUUUCUGUCUGGCUACUAGGAGAGCCUGCUCUGCCCCUUCCCAGUUCACUCAGUUACAUUUGGUCAUUGUGUUAAUAGUUUUAUGUCAAUGUGACAGAAACAACAGUCAUCUGAGAGGAGGCAAGCACAAUUUUAAAAAUGCCACCAGGCGCUGGAGAGAUGUCUUGGCUGUUAAGAGCACUGGCUGCUCUUCUAGAGGACCUGAUUUCAACUCCCAGCACCCACAUUUCCCCUCACAACUGUAUGUAACUCCAGUUCUGACACCUCGACACUGAUGCGCUUAAAAUAAAUUUAAAUACAUUAUUUUAAAAAAAUAAAGCACCUUUGAAAGAUCAGGCUGUGGGCAAGUCUGGAGGCCAUGUUCUUAAUUAGUGACUGGUGGGGGAAGCCAGGCCCACGUGAUGGUGCCAUCCCUGAGCUGAAGCCCUUGGGUUCUAUAAGAAAACUGACUGAGCAAACCACUAAGUAUCACUCUUCCAUGACUUCUGUGUCAGUUCCUGCCUCUAGUUUCUGCCCUGUUUGAGUUCCUGUUCUGACUUCCUUCAUUGAUGGACUGUGAUGUGGAGAUGACUUCCCUCAGUGAUGGGUCGUUACCUGGAAGUGUAAGUGAAAUAGGCCCCUUUCUCCCCAGGUUACUUUUGAUCAUGGCGUUUUGUCACAGCAGUAGUAACACCAAUAGGACAGAAGUUAGUAACAGGAUGGGGUAGACCACUAUCUGACCAUGUCAUUUUGGGGAGGAUUGUGAAAGUUCUUUGGAACUUUGGACUAGAAAAACCAUCGAAUAUUGAGAGUUUAGCGAACUGUUCUGUAGGAGCUUGGAAGAUAAGAAUGUUGAGAGCAGUACAGAUGAUGGAGGUUUGGCUUGUGAAGUUUCAGAGGCAAGCAAAGACUCUACUGGGACUUUUUUUUGGGGAAGAAUCUGUGGUGUCUGCUCAUCUGUAGCCGAAGAAUCAGCCAUGAUUAACAUCAGACCAGAAACAUUAAAAUAAAACCUUUGCUUUGUUAGAAUAAUGAAUGCUGGUUAGCUGGGGAUGAAGAAUUAGCUGUAAUUAAAAAGAGACAGCAUCACUGAAGUCUUCUGUGAAGUGUUUUGUUAUUGUCAGCACACAGAAGAUGUGUUCCAGAAGUGACCAUAAUUGUAUCUUGUCCUGGAGCUGAACUUGUUUAUAUGAGUAUCACAGGUGAUACUGGUUUUGAAAGCAUGAAGGGGUCAUAGAAGCUUGGCCAUGUGAGAGGCCAUUGGUGAAGGUGGAGUUAGCAGUAGAAGCCCUAGAAUUAUUGAAAGGGUCAUGGAAAAAAGCUGAGGCUUUGAACCAGAACCAGAACACAGAACCAGAAACAUUAUUGGUGAAACUACUGGUGGAAGUGCAAUCCAGCUGCCACAGAAGACCCAGGCGUUUUGGAGAAGCCAAUAUCAUGAGAUGUCUGCCAAGAAUAGCAGCAGCCAUAGAGUGGAACCUGCCUAUGUCUAGAAGACAAGCUUUGUGUAUUGCAGAGGGUGGGGCCUGCGAAGUGCCCCAGGCCCUUUGGAGGUACCCAGAAGAUCUGAGUGAAUCCCAGAUUUUAUAAAUUGAAUGCUACACACUGUUUGGUUUGGUUUUGAUCUGAUUGUGAUUAUGCCCUGUUUCUUCCCUCUUCAAAUGAGAAAGUAUUUACCUUUUUUUAUAUUAUUGAAACCCAAAAUUGAUAUUUUGAUUCUAAAAGAGACUUUGGAUUAAAAAAACCCUGCAUUUUAA